CGUGUAGGCGGCCGGACAAGUCAGAUGUGAAAUCCCUGGGCUCAACCCAGGAAGUGCAUUUGAAACUGUUCGGCUAGAGUAGGGGAGAGGGAAGUGGAAUUCCUGGUGUAGAGGUGAAAUUCGUAGAUAUCAGGAGGAACACCGGUGGCGAAGGCGACUUCCUGGCCCUAUACUGACGCUGAGACGCGAGAGCGUGGGGAGCAAACA
rnacentral:rRNA from 1 species